GUGGUAGCAUACUUCCCUGACAGCUUACUGUAUGAAUCAAAGUUAACCUAAUUUUUGAGAAACCACAAUUAGAUUUAUUACAUUGAAUGACGUCUGUAGCAAUGAUGAUAGGUGUUCUAACCAACGAUGUUCAUCGCCUACAGCCGACGCUCUACUACAAAGACACCAAUCAUUUGAAAUUGAUAAACUGACGAGUAUUAUAAUUUUGUCCAAAUUAUUGGUACCUUUAACAGAAUGGUAGCUCUGUGGUCCAAGAAUAUACAACCCCCAAGAAAUA